UUGGUUCAUUUUCCUUCAACUCUUUAACUUUUUCAUCAUCAACACUCUUAUAUUACUGUUUUGUUGUUUGCCCCCUUAUAUAUCAUGAAAAGAUAUAUAAUAACCAAAAUAUAAUAAAAGGUUGUUAAAAUAUUGGGUGACCUAAUGGGACAAACAAGAAGACACACACUUGCAUGUAAAAGACAUUUAAUUAAUAAUGACCCUAGUUUUCUAAUGUUUUCUUUCAUUUCUAUAAGUGCUAAAGAAGCUUCGUUAUAUUUUGAUACAAAAAGUUUAAUAUCAUAUAUGAAAAAUAGAAAACAAAUAUGAUUGAAAUGUCAAAGUUUGUUUAUAUUAUGAUAAUUUUUGUAUUUUUCGUUGUAAGUGUUGCAAGCUCAGGAGUUCCUUGGCAUUGUAAUGAGGAUAAAAAUUGUCAUUAUAGACUGUGCUUUCCUUACAUAACUAUUUGUGCCGUUAAUCGUUGUAUUUGCCUGAAAAUAAAAUUUUCUGAUGUAAUUAAUCCUGAUUGAUUGGUUUAGUAGUUGAAGAUUGAGCCUUGAGAAUGUGCUCUUCUCAAAAUUUUAAAUUCGAAUUCCGCUGAGUAUAAAUAGUUAUAUGUUAUAGACUUGAGAAAAGCAAUUACAAACAAAAGUGAUUUCUUUCACAUGAAUAAAGAAAGUUAGUGAAUUUCAUA